UGGGGAAUUUUGGACAAUGGGCGAAAGCCUGAUCCAGCAAUGCCGCGUGUGUGAAGAAGGCCUUCGGGUUGUAAAGCACUUUUGUCCGGAAAGAAAUCCUUGGCUCUAAUACAGUCGGGGGAUGACGGUACCGGAAGAAUAAGCACCGGCUAACUACGUGCCAGCAGCCGCGGUAAUACGUAGGGUGCAAGCGUUAAUCGGAAUUACUGGGCGUAAAGCGUGCGCAGGCGGUUUGCUAAGACCGAUGUGAAAUCCCCGGGCUCAACCUGGGAACUGCAUUGGUGACUGGCAGGCUAGAGUAUGGCAGAGGGGGGUAGAAUUCCACGUGUAGCAGUGAAAUGCGUAGAGAUGUGGAGGAAUACCGAUGGCGAAGGCAGCCCCCUGGGCCAAUACUGACGCUCAUGCACGAAAGCGUGGGGAGCAAACAGGAUUAGAUACCCUGGUAGUCCACGCCCUAAAACGAUGUCAACUAGUUGUUGGGGAUUCAUUUCCUUAGUAACGUAGCUAACGCGUGAAGUUGACCGCCUGGGGAGUACGGUCGCAAGAUUAAAACUUAAUGAAUUGACGGGGUCAUAGCUGUUUCCU
rnacentral:rRNA from 1 species